CCGAGGGCGGCGGGCAGAGGGGGCCCGCCAGGGGGCGGUGCCGCGGGGCUGCGAAGGGGCAGAGAACGGUCUCGGCUCAGCCCCCGGCCAAGGCAGGGCAAGUACCCGCGCUGCCUGCCCUGGGAGUGAGGGGGCCUGCUGUGCUGCGCCUCCCCCCUGCUGAGUCUCCCCAAGGGGCCCCAGAUACUGACUCCAUACCCCAAGGCUCACGGCCCCCUGGGAUUAGGGCAACAACGCUUCUAGCUCCAUACCGAACGCACCCCCACGGCAGCACCUGCUGGCUCGAGGGGGCUGGCUCACUACAAAAGCAAUUUUCCCUCUCUUGGUAUUGACACCUCAUCAGUUAUUGGGAGUGGACCACCUCCAGCCUGAGUGAAUUGGCCUGGUCACCGCUGGUUCUCCACUUGUGAGAAAGUGGUAUCAAUAUCAUUUCAUCAUUGCAAGAUUGCAUAGCUUCAGCUAAGUGGCAUGCAUCAAGCAUAGAGCAAGGAAGUAAGUUAAGAAAGACAUUCAAACACCUCUUCCCCAAAGGCACCAUGACCUCAAGAUCAAUUGGAAAAAGUAUAAAACUAGCUUUCCCCAACCAAAUGUUGAUCUUGAAUCCUCAUAAACUAUUAAAGACACCCACACAUACUAGGGAGAAGAUGUAUUUUAAAUUAAAAAGUUUAUAGGCACAGAAAAGUGACUUUGCAAGCUGAAUAGGAGUACUUCACUACUAAGAAGAAUAGUUUGCUGUUUUAUGUUGGUAGCCCCAUGUAUUUACUGAUUUGUGUCGCUUUAUGACAAACCUGGCUGAAAGGGUUGCUGUAAAAUUCGGACUUAAAUGUGUUAGUGAUGGAUUGUUGUACAGUAUUUAUUUUACAUUAUGAUUGGCACUUACACCUUUUAAGUCUAGUUACUAUAGCAUCACAUUCUAUUAAAAGCACUACACAAUUUUUUUCCUAUUAUAUACUUUGCUGCAAUUACAUUGAUUGCUUUACUUUUUU